GACGAACGCUGGCGGCGUGCUUAACACAUGCAAGUCGAACGGUAAGGCCCUUCGGGGUACACGAGUGGCGAACGGGUGAGUAACACGUGGGUGAUCUGCCCUGCACCUCGGGAUAAGCCUGGGAAGCUGGGUCUAAUACCGGAUAGGACCACUGCCUGCAUGGGUGGUGGUGGAAAGCUUUUGCGGUGUGGGAUGGGCCCGCGGCCUAUCAGCUUGUUGGUGGGGUGAUGGCCUACCAAGGCGACGACGGGUAGCCGGCCUGAGAGGGUGACCGGCCACACUGGGACUGAGAUACGGCCCAGACUCCUACGGGAGGCAGCAGAGGGGAAUUUUGCACAAUGGGCGCAAGCCUGAUGCAGCGACGCCGCGUGAGGGAUGACGGCCUUCGGGUUGUAAACCUCUUUCAGCACCGACGAAGCGCAAGUGACGGUAGGUGCAGAAGAAGGACCGGCCAACUACGUGCCAGCCGCCGCAGUAC
rnacentral:rRNA from 1 species